AGUAUAUCCUCCUUUUGGAAGCCUGCAUGAACCACAGAAAUAAUACAAGCCUUGCAGGAAUAAGGGACUCAAAAUCCUGAUUCUAAGAGAAGUGUUGUUCUUUCCUCUUCAAGUACAGAUGAAGGGGAAUGGGACAGCCUGCAUUUCUAAG
rnacentral:lncRNA from 12 species